GACGAACGCUGGCGGCGUGCUUAACACAUGCAAGUCGAACGGAAAGGCCCUGCUUUUGUGGGGUGCUCGAGUGGCGAACGGGUGAGUAACACGUGAGUAACCUGCCCUUGACUUUGGGAUAACUUCAGGAAACUGGGGCUAAUACCGGAUAGGAGCUCCUGCUGCAUGGUGGGGGUUGGAAAGUUUCGGCGGUUGGGGAUGGACUCGCGGCUUAUCAGCUUGUUGGUGGGGUAGUGGCUUACCAAGGCUUUGACGGGUAGCCGGCCUGAGAGGAUGACCGGCCACAUUGGGACUGAGAUACGGCCCAGACUCCUACGGGAGGCAGCAGUGGGGAAUAUUGCACAAUGGGCGGAAGCCUGAUGCAGCAACGCCGCGUGCGGGAUGACGGCCUUCGGGUUGUAAACCGCUUUCGCUCAUGACGAAGCUUUGUGUGACGGUAGUGGGUAAAGAAGCACCGGCUAACUACGUG
rnacentral:rRNA from 1 species